AGCUACGAGCAAUCGUGUUUAUUUUUAUAAAUGAACCUGAAAAAAAUGAGGCUUUAUCGUUGAAUAUUGGCCAUUCUUUAAAUAUUUUCAAUUGAAUUUUUUAAAAUCACUACUUUUGGGGUUAAUCGCAAUUGUGUUUUGAACGAGAGCAACAUAUAACGAUUUAUAUGUGAAAAAUGUUAACAACUGAAGGAUCAACAGAUCCAUUGUUGGAUGGGGUGAAAAUUAAAGAGGAAAAACUCACACCACCAGCAUCACCGAACGUAAAUUCAGCGACUGCCCUUACCAUUACCGAUAAUUUGCUGGACAAUAUUUUAGGCGAACGCAAACCCAUUACCGAGCCAAUUAAAACUUCGGAUGAAAUUUUAGCCGAUUUAUUUAAAGUGUUUAACGCAGCACCACCCACACUCGAUGACGAUGGUUCCACAAAGGAUGCAAGCAGCCAUAAGAAAAAGAAGCAUAAAAAGGAGAAAAAGGUGAAGAAACACAAGAAACGUAGUCGAAAUAACAGUGAAAGUAAAUCAUCCGACGAUGAAUCGUCCAAAACGAAAAAGCACAAAGUUAAAAAGGUGAAAAAACGUGAACUAGAAGAUGAUGAAAUAUAUAACAAGAAGCGACACAAGAAAUCGAAGGAACGUGUCAUUAAAGUAAAAAAAUUGGAUGUUACUGUUAAAAAGGAGAUAACCGAUGAUGUAAAUGCCAGAAAGACUAAUGAUUCGAAAUCUCAUAGUGACGCAAAAUCAAAAACACAUGAUUCAGCUGAUGCAAAGGCAAAGAAACCGUCGAAUGGUGAGAAAAAGCCGACAUUGAGCAUUCAAGUGUCUGUGACGAAGGACAAUGAUGGAUCCGGUAGCAAACGGAAAAUUGUGAUAAAAAGCCUGGUCGAUAGUACGGUUUACCAAGAUACCUUGAAAGAAGUGGACGCAAAACAGAAGGAAAAAGAGCGGGAAAAGUUAAAGGAGAAAGAACGAGAAAAAGAAAAGGAACGGGCAAAAGAAUGCACCAGAGAUAGAGACAAACGGAAGCACACGUCAAGGCGCUCCAAGUCAAAUGAAAAGGAACAUCGUCGUAGUGCAAGAUCUCGUUCAUCAAGCUUAUCGUUAUCAGACGAGGAAACUUAUCUACGUGAACGUGAACGCGACGUUCGCACUAGGGAUCGGGAUCGGGAUCGGGAUCGAGAUCGGGAUCGGGAUCGAGAUCGUGAAAAAGAAAGAGAUGACUUUUACGGAGAUUAUCGGCGCGAAAGUGACAAAGACUUGGACCAUCGAAGACACCGCAGCCGCAAUGAUUUCUAUCGACAUGACCACCAUGAUCGAAGACGUUCCAGAUCAUCAUCUCGUCAUCGUGAUAGAACUAGCGAACGAAUAGAUAAAAAGCGUUUGCUUGAAAUUGCCCGUAAAAAUGCCAUAACCAUGUUAAAAAAUGGAACAUUACCCGGAACGCAUAACAUGGAUCCGGAAGCAAAGGAAAAAGCCUUAACGAAAAUGCGAUACGGAGGAAAAUCCGUGGAUGAAUUAACUGAAUUCUGUAAAAAACUAUCAAAAGGUGAAGCGAAUGGUUAUUUAUCAAACAUAUCUGGUGAUAGCGAUAUCGAUGCUGAUCUCGAAAAGCCAUUCCAUCAUCCAUUUGUUAUCAAAGAUCGCGGCCCAAUUGUAAUGAAUAUUAAGAAUUCUACGCCAAUUCCACCGAAAACGGCGGAACAAACAAAAGCAAUACUUAUGCAAUUUCCUGUAUCAUCUGGCCAACACCAUCGUCUCAAUGAGAGUGAAUGGGUACCGGUUGUGCCGCCAAAACCAGCGAAAAACAAAGAAACUCAAGAGCAAUCGGCAACAGAAACGUCAACCACAUCAAAAUCAUCAACAGUAGCAACAACGACUCAAUCCAAAGCCAAAGCCAAAAACGACGAAGUUCCUCAACCGACAGCAGAUUACGGUUAUCAAACCACAUUUCCUAUUGCACCGCCCGUACAACCGGAGCCUCCGGUUUGUUUUGCAUUGCCGCCGGUUGAGCCAGUGCGGGCACCACUACCAGUGCCACCCGUGGUACCUGCGGCAGCACCGAUACAAGCGACACUACCGACAGAGCAGCCAUCCGUAACGAUUGACAACAUAUUUGCAGAUCAAAAAACGGGCAAAGACUUGGAUGUAACAUCCAUCAUCACGAAACGACUCAACGCAAUGCGAAAACUUCAAGACAAUCCAUUGGAUUCGGAAGCAAUAAAACUUAUGUACAGAACACAAAAAGAUAUGUCCGCAUGGGCAAGCUCAAAAUUUGUUCCUGGUCAAUUCACUGGCAGCACUGGUGCAAGCAUUUUAUCGACGAAAGAACUUGCCUCUGGCUUUCAAGCGUGGGCUAAAAGAGUUAGUUCAUUUGUUUUUUUUUUCUUUUUCCCUCCCAUCAAAUAAAAAGAGGUUGUUAAAUACCAAAUGAUACCAUCUACAUACAACGUGGACAUGACUCAGCCAACCGAAUGGUUAUUUAAAUAUUUGUUUUUGAGUGAAACAAAAAAAAGAGUAAUUGCCGCUUCAAGUCCACUAUUGUGAUGAGUUGGUACCAUUUGAACGACCACAUGUGAUUGAUAAUAUGCAUCCCUGAGCGAUUCCUUUGAUACAAAUUGCAAAGAUGUUCAACAUUUUGCUUUUGUAUGAAUCGAAUCACUCGGUGCACGCACAUUGAAAAUUGACCGUAAACACUACUUUAGAUUAGAAAUGGAUGAGUUCCGAAUAAAUACAAGAGAAUUCCAACCUCCUGCCAACAUUCUCAACGAACGUAAAUAAAUGCUAAUUGGAAUUGUCUCAUGUUUACUUCGAAAUCAACCAUUUCCAAUUUGAAGCCGUGUUUUUUUCUAUUCUCAAAAGGGAUUUUUUGUGUGCGUGCCUGGAAUCAAAUCAAUCUUUGUGACAAACAUUUUCAGCACUGCUACGUGAUGCAUACAACACACAUUUGAAUGUUUUUACAAUUCAUAUCCAUGCAGAGCCAACAGCAUAUUGGCCGCUGCAUGAACAUAAACUGUAAAAAUUAUCCAAAUUAUAAACUUUGCUUCCAAACGAAAAAAAAAAUGCAAUGAAUAACAAUGAAUGCCAAAGAAUCCUUUGCAUUCAUUGCUAUUCAUUUUGUCUGCUCAAGAAAAAGCACUCGAAUUUUCGCCGAAGAAGUACUUAUGAGUCAAAUCGAUUGUUUGAGUAUUUUGGGAAAAUCGAUGAAAAUACUUUGAUAAUAAAACUGGAAUUGAGCGCAAUACCAUUUUGGAUAAAACAAUUGAAUCUUCUUCUGAUCUCGGACAGUGUCUAUUGCGCCAACUGCAGCUUUAUUCGUGCGAUAAGUUUAUUUUCAUUGAUUUAUCCCAUACUCUCUCUAUUUCUCUCAUCCACCACAAAUGACUCUACAGAUUUUUAUGUGCAAAAUUUACACGAUUUAAAUGUGCUUGAAUUCCCGCUAAAAAAUUUAAAACUCGCUAUUGCGAUGGAAUGCGGCAGAUCAGUUGAUUUCAACGACACCCGUUUCGGGUGGAAUGGGCAUGCAUUUGCUGCAGAAAAUGGGCUGGAAACCGGGCGAAGGUUUGGGCAAAGAGAAAAA